UGUACGACCCAGUGAGACAGGUUAGGAGCGGUACUGUAUGACCCAGUGAGACAGGUUAGGAGCGGUACUGUUUGACCCAGUGAGACAGGUUAGGAGCGGUACUGUAUGACCCAGUGAGACAGGUUAGGACCGGUACUGUAUGACCCAGUGAGACAGGUUAGGAGCGGUACUGUAUGACCCAGUGAGACAGGUUAGGAGCGGUACUGUAUGACCCAGUGAGACAGGUUAGGAGCGGUACUGUAUGACCCAGUGAGACAGGUUAGGAGCGGUACUGUUUGACCCAGUGAGACAGGUUAGGAGCGGUACUGUAUGACCCAGUGAGACAGGUUAGGAGCGGUACUGUAUGACCCAGUGAGACAGGUUAGAAGCGGUACUGUACGACCCAGUGAGACAGGUUAGGAGCAGUACUGUACGACCCAGUGAGACAGGUUAGGAGCGGUACUGUAUGACCCAGUGAGACCGGUUAGGAGCGGUACUGUUUGACCCAGUGAGACAGGUUAGGACCGGUACUGUAUGACCCAGUGAGACAGGUUAGGAACGGUACUGUACGACCCAGUGAGACAGGUUAGGAGAGGUACUGUAUGACCCAGUGAGACAAGUUAGGAUCGGUACUGUUUGACCCAGUGAGACAGGUUAGGAGCGGUACUGUUUGACCCAGUGAGACAGGUUAGGACCGGUACUGUAUGACCCAGUGAGACAGGUUAGGAGCGGUACUGUACGACCCAGUGAGACAGGUUAGGAGCGGUACUGUACGACCCAGUGAGACAGGUUAGGAGCAGUACUGUACGACCCAGUGAGACAGGUUAGGAGCAGUACUGUACGACCCAGUGAGACAGGUUAGGAGCGGUACUGUAUGACCCAGUGAGACAGGUUAGGAGCAGUACUGUAUGACCCAGUGAGACAGGUUAGGAGCGGUACUGUAUGACCCAGUGAGACAGGUUAGGAGCGGUACUGUAUGACCCAGUGAGACAGGUUAGAAGCGGUACUGUACGACCCAGUGAGACAGGUUAGGAGCAGUACUGUAUGACCCAGUGAGACAGGUUAGGAGCAGUACUGUACGACCCAGUGAGACAGGUUAGGAGCGGCACUGUAUGACCCAGUGAGACCGGUUAGGAGCGGUACUGUUUGACCCAGUGAGACAGGUUAGGACCGGUACUGUAUGACCCAGUGAGACAGGUUAGGAACGGUACUGUACGACCCAGUGAGACAGGUUAGGAGAGGUACUGUAUGACCCAGUGAGACAAGUUAGGAUCGGUACUGUUUGACCCAGGGAGACAGGUUAGGAGCGGUACUGUAUGACCCAGUGAGACAAGUUAGGAUCGGUACUGUUUGACCCAGUGAGACAGGUUAGAAGCGGUACUGUAUGACCCAGUGAGACAGGUUAGAAGCGGUACUGUAUGACCAUGUGAGACAGGUUAGGAGCGGUACUGUAUGACCCAGUGAGACAGGUUAGGAGCGGUACUGUUUGACCCAGUGAGACAGGUUAGGACCGGUACUGUAUGACCCAGUGAGACAGGUUAGGAGCGGUACUGUACGACCCAGUGAGACAGGUUAGGAGCAGUACUGUACGACCCAGUGAGACAGGUUAGGGGCGGUACUGUAUGACCCAGUGAGACAGGUUAGGAGCGGUACUGUAUGACCCAGUGAGACAGGUUAGGAGCAGUACUGUACGACCCAGUGAGACAGGUUAGGGGCGGUACUGUAUGACCCAGUGAGACAGGUUAGGAGCGGUACUGUAUGACCCAGUGAGACAGGUUAGGAGCAGUACUGUUUGACCCAGUGAGACAGGUUAGGAGCGGUACUGUACGACCCAGUGAGACAGGUUAGGAGCGGUACUGUAUGACCCAGUGAGACAGGUUAGGAGCAGUACUGUUUGACCCAGUGAGACAGGUUAGGAGCGGUACUGUACGACCCAGUGAGACAGGUUAGGAGCGGUACUGUAUGACCCAGUGAGACAGGUUAGGAGCGGUACAGUAGGACCCAGUGAGACAGGUUAGGAGCGGUACUGUUUGACCCAGUGAGACAGGUUAGGAGCGGUACUGUAUGACCCAGUGAGAUAGGUUAGGAGCGGUACUGUAUGACCCAGUGAGACAGGUUAGAAGCGGUACUGUACGACCCAGUGAGACAGGUUAGGAGCAGUACUGUAUGACCCAGUGAGACAGGUUAGGAGCAGUACUGUACGACCCAGUGAGACAGGUUAGGAGCGGUACUGUAUGACCCAGUGAGACCGGUUAGGAGCGGUACUGUUUGACCCAGUGAGACAGGUUAGGACCGGUACUGUAUGACCCAGUGAGACAGGUUAGGAACGGUACUGUACGACCCAGUGAGACAGGUUAGGAGAGGUACUGUAUGACCCAGUGAGACAAGUUAGGAUCGGUACUGUUUGACCCAGUGAGACAAGUUAGGAUCGGUACUGUUUGACCCAGUGAGACAGGUUAGAAGCGGUACUGUAUGACCCAGUGAGACAGGUUAGAAGCGGUUCUGUAUGACCCAGUGAGACAGGUUAGGACCGGUACUGUAUGACCCAGUGAGACAGGUUAGGAGCGGUACUGUUUGACCCAGUGAGACAGGUUAGGACCGGUACUGUAUGACCCAGUGAGACAGGUUAGGAGCGGUACUGUACGACCCAGUGAGACAGGUUAGGAGCAGUACUGUACGACCCAGUGAGACAGGUUAGGGGCGGUACUGUAUGACCCAGUGAGACAGGUUAGGAGCGGUACUGUAUGACCCAGUGAGACAGGUUAGGAGCGGUACUGUAUGACCCAGUGAGACAGGUUAGGAGCGGUACUGUAUGACCCAGUGAGACAGGUUAGGAGCGGUACUGUAUGACCCAGUGAGACAGGUUAGAAGCGGUACUAUACGCCCCCUCUCGACUCACAUACACUGGGAAUCAAUGUCCCCCUGACCAGGAUACCAGGUCCCCUGCAGGGUGGGUUUAUUAAAACUGACCUGUGUGUGUGUGUGUGUGUGUGUGUGUGUGUGUGUGUGUGUGUGUGUGUGUGUGUGUGUGUGUGUGUGUGUGUGUGUGUGUGUGUGUGUGUGUGUGUGUGUGUGUGUGUGUGUGCACGCAGAUGCACUGGCUAUGUGUGUGAUUGAUAGUCACUAUGGUUGUGAUUUAAACGACUGGCCUGGCUCUUACUCCUCCAUGUUAAUCGACAUUUUCCCAGAGCUCAAAUGGGACCAUACAUUCUACCCGUCAAAGUGUCUCAUGGGAGACUUUCCAUUACUUUAAGUGAUCAUGGAGAGAGGGAUAGAUAGAAAGUCAGAGGGAAAAGAAGAAAGGCAGGAGGACCGAGAGAGAAACAGAAAGGCAGAUUGAGAAAGAGAGAGACAACACUGAGACAAGGAAGAAGAUGUGAUCUGUCAUUCCCAAGUCAUCAGAGCCACAGCUCCAGUUUCAUCCAGAAGGAAAAUGAGUUCAGCUCUGUUGUAAACCUGAGCAGUAAUGACUUGUAUAUAAAGACCCAACCCCAGUCAGAUGUCUGUGUUACUGUUGAAGGAGCACAAUGAUGACGUCACACAUGGGGUGUUGUUUCAAGAACGAACCACAGUUACAAGACACUCAUAAUCACACCAUGCCGAUGACUUUUCACCCUUUGUUGUCAAUACAAUAUUAUGUGCCAACAUUCUAAACUGUACUUUUGGGUGACAUACGGACCACAGAAGCAAAAAUGAAACAUAUUUUCAAGUGCCAUAAAAACCAUGUCAGUACAUUUGGUUCUUUAUACAUUUGAUACUGUGAUGUUGUAUAAUUUGUUCAAAUGUGUACAGUUCCUGUGUACAAUGAGGAACUUCACAAUGUUGCCUUCAGAUAGCAUACUGAACAUUGAUUUUCUUUCAUACCUGUUUUGAGUUUGCUGCUCUUAUCCAUUUGAUAAAGUUGAUGACACUGACAGUCUGUUUAUAAACCACUUAUAAACAGUAGUACAUCACUUAGGUCAGUUUUUCCUGAAAUACUCUAGCAAAGUAUUGAUUGUUUUCCUCCACACCAACAAACUGUCAUACUGAGGAACCUUAGAGUCAAAGGCUACUUCCUGUUCAUAAUACUGUGCAGUAAUACAUCAUGGAAAAGCACAAUAACUUUUAUUUUUCUUAUUUUAAAAGUAGUUGUACUGUAACAAUAUCUAUGUAUAUUUGUGUAAAUAAUCUAUUUGAAAGUAUCUUAUCCAUGUGGUUUUAAGGUUGUUGUUUUUUCAUCCUUGACACAGGCCUUUGACGUGUUGGUUUUGGUUGACUGUGAUAUGAAUGAGAUGUAACAGAGCAGGCUGGUGGGAGGAGCUAUAGGAGGUCGGGCUCAUUGUAAUGGUUGGAAUGGAACAGUGUCUGACUUAUGUUGUCUACAUGUUUGAUGUGUUUGAUGAAGUUCUAUGUACUCCAUUUCAGCCAUUACAAUGAGCCCGUUCUCCUAUUGCUCCUCCCACCAGCCACCACUGAGAUGCAAGUACAGGAAUUACAGUAUUUACCUUUGACUGGAAGCUGAGGGUAGCUGUUUCCUUUCUAAAAAGAGUAGAAUCGUAGGCUUGUCCUGCUGAGCUGAAUGAAAAAGAUCUCCAGAUUAUUUGAUUUAUGAUUUACGGCUGUACACACACACACACACACACACACACACACACACACACACACACACACACACACACACACACACACACACACACACACACACACACACACACACACACACACACACACACACACACACACACACACACACACACACACACACACACACACACACACACACACACACACACACACACACACACUCACACACACACACGCACGCACGCACGCACGCACACACACACACACACACACACACACACACACACACACACACACACACACACACACACACACACACGCUCACAUGCACACACACACACACACACACACACACACACACACACACAUGCUCACAUACACACACACACACACACACACACACACACACACACACACACACACACACACA